GAUGAACGCUGGCGGCGUGCUUAACACAUGCAAGUCGAACGAUGAAGCCCAGCUUGCUGGGUGGAUUAGUGGCGAACGGGUGAGUAACACGUGAGUAACCUGCCCUUGACUCUGGGAUAAGCCUGGGAAACUGGGUCUAAUACUGGAUAUGACUUCUCAUCGCAUGGUGGGGGGUGGAAAGAUUUAUUGGUCUUGGAUGGACUCGCGGCCUAUCAGCUUGUUGGUGAGGUAAUGGCUCACCAAGGCGACGACGGGUAGCCGGCCUGAGAGGGUGACCGGCCACACUGGGACUGAGACACGGCCCAGACUCCUACGGGAGGCAGCAGUGGGGAAUAUUGCACAAUGGGCGCAAGCCUGAUGAAGAGACGCCGCGUGAGGGAUGACGGCCUUCGGGUUGUAAACCUCUUUCAGUAGGGAAGAAGCGAGAGUGACGGUACCUGCAGAAGAAGCGCCGGCUAACUUCGUG
rnacentral:rRNA from 1 species